AUUGAACGCUGGCGGCAGGCCUAACACAUGCAAGUCGCACGAGUGGCGGACGGGUGAGUAAUGUCUGGGAAACUGCCUGAUGGAGGGGGAUAACUACUGGAAACGGUAGCUAAUACCGCAUACCAUCGGAUGUGCCCAGAUGGGAUUAGCUAGUAGGCGGGGUAAAGGCUCACCUAGGCGACGCUCCCUAGCUGGUCUGAGAGGAUGACCAGCCACACUGGGACUGAGACACGGUCCAGACUCCACCGGGAGGCCACAGUGGGGACUCUUGCCCCAUGGGCGCAAGCCUGAUGCAGCCAUGCCGCGUGUAUGAAGACGGCCUUCGGGUUGUAAAGUACUUUCAGCGGAGAGGCGUUACCCGCAGAAGAAGCACCGGCUAACUCCGUGCCAGCAGCCGCGGUAAUUC
rnacentral:rRNA from 1 species